GUUAUGAGUUAAGAGUAGCAUUUAGGGUUGUGAAUUGGGAAUUUUGAUGGAAUUUGGGGAUUUUUAGAUUCAAUAAUAAAAGGGAUAAGGUGACACAUGGUUGGCUGAGAGCUGAAGUUACUUUACAAGUGGAAUAAAAUCGACAAUCAAGAUUAAAAGAUCAUUAAACCAAAUAGAGGGCCGAGAUCGGUUCUAUAGUUAGUUGUAGGUUGUUAAAUACCUGAUUAGCCAGCUGGAGAAGGCAGUUACUGAAUUGGUAUUCGAAUUUCAUGAAGUCAUCCAUGGCUACUGUAAUUGAUUAGUUACGAUUAGUCAUUACUUAUAUCAGUUGGUUGAGGCAAUUUGUAACCCGUUUCGUUAUUAAUAAAAUUCCCUUUUGAUAAUUCGAUUGUUCAAUUUGUAAGAGCAUUACAAGUGGCAUCAAAGCACGACCCUGGCCACCAUGACUAUUACAGAGAUAAGGUA